ensembl:lncRNA
AUAGACUGUUUUAGAAACUGAAUAAUAAUAAUAAAAAUAUAUCUAUAUCAUUGUUAGGACACUAAGCUUAAGAUACCAUGUACUGGAGUACCACUUACUACAAUAUGCAUACUGCCUACACAGAGUGAGAGAGACCGUUUUUGGCAAUUUUAUUAUUGCAUAGCCCUAAAAGCAGCAAUGUAGGCAUAGAAACCAAUGGGAGAGAGACAGUAGCAUUGGUAAUGUAUUAUAUACAGAGAUAAAAUGUGUCUCUGUAUGAAAAUCAAGCACAUUCCUCAUGUCUGAGAGCAAUGCAGUAUAAGAAAUCCAAACUCUUUUUUGGGCCUGAUUUAUAUGAUUGUAUCUUGCCAAAGUUGCCUAUACAAAGAAAUACAUUUAUAUUUUUCUCUAGCCUUUGAUGGUGUGAAACGUAAUCUAAGAAUCCACAGUUUAUUCUUUGACCAUAUAGCAGAAUGAUGAAUAAGAAGAAAAUAACAGAAUGUUCUGCAGAAUAGUUCAGGUCUGUCAGGAAAAUGAACAGCUGGGAGGUAAGUGUUGGUUGAGAUCAGCUUUUGAAAUGUUCAGUUUUGCGAAGUCUGUGAGGUAAACUGACAGGGAGAAUUGUGUGCCUUAGGGAGCACUGACAGAAUUCCUGAAAGGUGGAUAACACCAGGAGGAGCAAACUGGGGUGAAACCGCAUCAACACCUGAAUGUUAAAAGUAAGAGCUGGGCAGAUAAGGAAAGCAAAGGAAAUGUCACCUGCUAGCCUGACUGGUGGACUUUAUCCUCCAAGGUCUAAGGCACCAAGAAAGAUGGUGAAGAGAGGAGCAGGAGAGAGAAACUGCUGUAUAUUGACUAUAACCUCCCUAUGUGGCCUGCCAUAUUCUAGAGAUUUCAGCAUCUAAAGCCAGUCCACAUGACGUGUGGACUGCCUGAAAGUCGGGAAUCACUGAGGCUAUUAGCCUGCUAAAACACAGACACAAACUAUUUAACAAAGCAUUCACCAAAGACUCACUGAAGUUUCAGAGACUGUAAUCAUGUUGUUCCUGUCUGUCAGUUUCUAUAACCUUGGGGCCAACACAGGUGGACAAAAAAAAUUAAAAAAAAAAAAAAAUCCCCGUAUCUUUGAGGUUUAUGGAGUGCUUCGUUAUGGCCUACUUGUGUGUUUUUCCAAAUCUGAAGGACUAUUCAGCACUGAGUAAUAUUUACUAAUUCUUGAUUUGUUCUGGGGCAAGCAAUUGUGAACCCUCUAUCCAUCAUUACCUAGCAUAUGUCCUCUUCUCUUACGCUUAUGUGGAAAAGAGAUCACAUAAUAGGCUGCAGAAUUUCCUUUAACAUGCAACAGGAAGCUUCAUUUGCACAUUUCUACUUUAGUAGAUUAAAUAUGUGCUGCCAUACUUAUUUUAUAUAUAUAUAUAUAUACAUAUUAUUCAAAUGUUAGAGGUCCUUUUAGUCAUUGUAGUGCGUUUUAUGUUGUUGCUCAAAUUCCACUUCAGUUUUUUCAUGUAUCACAUAUAUUGACUAACAAAUCCCUGAAUUUCUGCUUAACACCAGAGAUGAGAAAAUAAAAAGAUAAUUAACUAAUCUGGCA